GAUGAACGCUAGCUACAGGCUUAACACAUGCAAGUCGAGGGGCAGCAUUAUCGAAGCUUGCUUUGAUAGAUGGCGACCGGCGCACGGGUGAGUAACGCGUAUCCAACCUUCCCCUUAGUAGGGCAUAGCCCGUAGAAAUGCGGAUUAAUACCCUAUGUUGUAUUAUGAGGACAUCUGAAUAAUACCAAAGGUUCACCGCUAAGGGAUGGGGAUGCGUCUGAUUAGGUUGUUGGCGGGGUAACGGCCCACCAAGCCAUCGAUCAGUAGGGGUUCUGAGAGGAAGGUCCCCCACAUUGGAACUGAGACACGGUCCAAACUCCUACGGGAGGCAGCAGUGAGGAAUAUUGGUCAAUGGGCGAGAGCCUGAACCAGCCAAGUAGCGUGCAGGAUGACGGCCCUAUGGGUUGUAAACUGCUUUUAUACAGGGAUAAAGUCGGGGACGUGUCCCCGUUGUAGGUA
rnacentral:rRNA from 1 species